UACCAGACUCCUACGGGAGGCAGCAGUGGGGAAUAUUGCGCAAUGGGGGAAACCCUGACGCAGCAACGCCGCGUGAGUGAGGAAGUAUCUCGGUAUGUAAAGCUCUAUCAGCAGGGAAGAAAAUGACGGCACCUGACUAAGAAGCCCCGGCUAACUACGUGCCAGCAGCCGCGGUAAUACGUAGGGGGCAAGCGUUAUCCGGAUUUACUGGGUGUAAAGGGAGCGUAGACGGCUGUGCAAGCCAGAUGUGAAAGCCCGGGGCUCAACCCCGGGACUGCAUUUGGAACUGUGUAGCUGGAGUGUCGGAGAGGCAGGCGGAAUUCCUAGUGUAGCGGUGAAAUGCGUAGAUAUUAGGAGGAACACCAGUGGCGAAGGCGGCCUGCUGGACGAUGACUGACGUUGAGGCUCGAAAGCGUGGGGAGCAAACAGGAUUAGAUACCCCGGUA
rnacentral:rRNA from 1 species